rnacentral:rRNA from 1 species
UACGUAGGGGGCAAGCGUUGUUCGGAAUUACUGGGCGUAAAGGGCGCGUAGGCGGCACAGCAAGUCGGGAGUGAAAGCCCAGGGCUUAACCCUGGAAUUGCCUUUAAGACUGCAUCGCUAGAAUCGUGGAGAGGUGAGUGGAAUUCCGAGUGUAGAGGUAGAAAUUCGUAGAUAUUGGAAGAACACCAGUGGCGAAGGCGACUCACUGGACACGUAUUGACACUGAGGUGCGGAAAGCGAUGGGGAGCAAACAGG